rnacentral:rRNA from 1 species
UACGGAGGGUGCAAGCGUUGUCCGGAUUUAUUGGGUUUAAAGGGUGCGUAGGCGGCCCGUUAAAGUCAGUGGUGAAAGCCUCCAGCUCAACUGGAGAAACUGCCAUUGAUACUGACGGGCUUGAGUACAGACGAGGUUGGCGGAAUUGAUUGUGUAGCGGUGAAAAUGCAUAGAUACAAUCAAGAACACCGAUUGCGUAGGCAGCUAACUAGGCUGUAACUGACGCUGAGGCACGAAAGCGUGGGGGAGCGAACAGG